GGUUAAGAAGGAGGGGGGAUGGGGCUAGGUUGGGUUUAGAAGGAGGGGGGAUGGGGCAGGGUUAGGUUGGGUUUAGAAGGAGAGGGGUUGGGACUGGGUUAGGUUGGGUUUAGAAGGAGAGGGGAUGGGACUGGGUUAGGUUGGGUUUAGAAGGAGAGGGGAUGGGACUGGGUUAGGUUGGGUUUAGAAGGAGAGGGGAUGGGACUGGGUUAGGUUGGGUUUAGAAGGAGAGGGGAUGGGACUGGGUUAGGUUGGGUUUAGAAGGAGAGGGGAUGGGGCUGGGUUAGGUUGGGUUUAGAAGGAGAGGGGAUGGGACUGGGUUAGGUUGGGUUUAGAAGGAGAGGGGAUGGGGCUGGGUUAGGUUGGGUUUAGAAGGAGAGGGGAUGGGGCUGGGUUAGGUUGGGUUUAGAAGGAGAGGGGAUGGGGCUGGGUUAGGUUGGGUUUAGAAGGAGAGGGGAUGGGGCUGGGUUAGGUUGGGUUUAGAUGGAGAGGGGAUGGGGCUGGGUUAGGUUGGGUUUAGAAGGAGAGGGGAUGGGACUGGGUUAGGUUGGGUUUAGAAGGAGAGGGGAUGGGGCUGGGUUAGGUUGGGUUUAGAAGGAGAGGGGAUGGGGCUGGGUUAGGUUGGGUUUAGAAGGAGAGGGGAUGGGGCUGGGUUAGGUUGGGUUUAGAAGGAGAGGGGAUGGGACUGGGUUAGGUUGGGUUUAGAAGGAGAGGGGAUGGGACUGGGUUAGGUUGGGUUUAGAAGGAGAGGGGAUGGGACUGGGUUAGGUUGGGUUUAGAAGGAGAGGGGAUGGGACUGGGUUAGGUUGGGUUGGGUUUAGAAGGAGGGGGAUGGGGCUGGGUUGGGUUGGGUUUAGCUG